UCCCUCCAUCAGACCUGUUUCCAGUUCUUCCAGCUCUUCUUUUCUCCCUGUUUCCCUUCCUUAAGAACGGCUUUUUGACUGGAGACCAUCUCUGAUGGCUGAUGCAACAGUAGAUGGAUCAGCUGAAGGUCCAGAUGCAUCUUUCAGGUCCUGGUUCAGGUCUUUCUUUGUUGGGAAAGUCCUGAAAGCGACCUUGGUGCUGAUUUAUUGACACAUUUGAAGAUUCUUUUCAGAAAGCAUCGAGCCACGAAGCUUCAGAAGCUUCAUUGUGCUGGAUGUCCUUCAGCAUGUUGAACACAAGGUGGCGCCAUCGUGCUGAUGGAGAACAACAUCCAGACUCUGCAGGAGCUCAGGUCCACCUGUUCACCUUCUGGUUAACACAAAUAUCCAAUCAGCCAAUCGCAUGGCAGCAUUUGUUCUGCUGGAGUGGACGCACUGAGGCUCAACCCGAGCGUCAGAAUGAGGAAGAAAGGGAUUUACGUGACUUUCAACGUGGUUCCAGUCCAAGAAGAGCCACACAGUACACAACAAGCCGGGCAGAGAAGGAAAAUCAGAGAGAUGCAUCUAAAGACCUCAGAACAUCCGGCAAGAAUCACUACAGCUCGUAAUCAGGACCCCAGCACAGCAUGGCC